ACGCUGGCGGCACGCCUAACACAUGCAAGUCGAACGAAGUAGCAAUACUUAGUGGCAGACGGGUGAGUAACAUGUAGGUAUCUGCCCUUUGGCCUGGAAUAACACGAGGAAACUUGUGCUAAUACCGGAUAAGUCUUUACGGAGAAAGCUUUAUGCACCAUUGGAUGAGCCUGCACUUGAUUAGUUUGUUGGUGGGGUAAUGGCCUACCAAGACUGUGAUCAAUAGCUGAUUUGAGAGGAUGAUCAGCCACAUUGGGACUGAGACACGGCCCAAACUCCUACGGGAGGCAGCAGUGGGGAAUCUUGCACAAUGGAGGAAACUCUGAUGCAGCGAUGCCGCGUGAGUGAAGAAGGCCCUUGGGUUGUAAAGCUCUUUCGUCGAGGAAGAAAAUGACUGUACCCGAAUAAGAAGGUCCGGCUAACUUCGUGCCAGCAGCCGCGGUAAUACGAAGGGACCUAGCGUAGUUCGGAAUUACUGGGCUUAAAGAGUUCGUAGGUGGUUGAAAAAGUUAGUGGUGAAAUCCCAGAGCUUAACUCUGGAACUGCCAUUAAAACUUUUUAGCUAGAGUAUGAUAGAGGAAAGCAGAAUUUCUAGUGUAGAGGUGAAAUUCGUAGAUAUUAGAAAGAAUACCAAUUGCGAAGGCAGCUUUCUGGAUCAUUACUGACACUGAGGAACGAAAGCAUGGGUAGCGAAGAGGAUUAGAUACCCUCGUAGUCCAUGCCGUAAACGAUGUGUGUUAGACGUUGGAAAUUUAUUUUCAGUGUCGCAGGGAAACCGAUAAACACACCGCCUGGGGAGUACGACCGCAAGGUUAAAACUCAAAUGAAUUGACGGGGACCCGCACAAGUAGUGGAGCAUGUGGUUUAAUUCGAAGAUACGCGCAGAACCUUACCAACACUUGACAUGUUCGUCGCGACUCUAAGAGAUUAGAGUUUUCGGUUCGGCCGGACGAAACACAGGUGCUGCAUGGCUGUCGUCAGCUCGUGUCGUGAGAUGUUGGGUUAAGUCCCGCAACGAGCGCAACCCUCACUUUUAGUUGCCAUCAUUAAGUUGGGCACUCUGAAAGAACUGCCAGUGAUAAGCUGGAGGAAGGUGGGGAUGACGUCAAGUCCUCAUGGCCCUUACGUGUUGGGCUACACACGUGCUACAAUGGUAUCUACAACAGGAAGCAAGACUGCGAAGUUAAGCAAAUCCCUAAAAGAUACCUCAGUUCGGAUUGCACUCUGCAACUCGAGUGCAUGAAGCUGGAAUUACUAGUAAUCGUGGAUCAGCGUGCCACGGUGAAUGCGUUCCCGGGUCUUGUACACACCGCC
rnacentral:rRNA from 1 species